UCUGUUUCUCUCAGCUCCUGUCACAAAACUAACCCUGCCCUCCCCUCUACCAGCACAAAAUCUCAGUGGACACUUCUGCUUCAACUCUCUCUCACACUGGACUCUGAGCUCCUGGAAAGAAGGGACUUUAAUAUUCGGAUUUUUACCCUAGUAAGUGAUUGAGAACAAAUGAAUGAGAGGAUGGAAGGAAGAGAUAAAGGAGAGAAGAGAAAGGAAGAUGGAGAAAGAAAAGGGUCCUACAACUGUAGCUUAUGAGAUAGUGCUUAAAUGAUGCCAUGUCAUGCCCAAAUAACAUUGAGUGAAGCUUGAAUCCCCUUGACUAUAGCAAAGAGUGAAAUAACUCAAAGUUAUUGUAGUGUAAAGACCACAUUGCUGUGUCUGGGGAGAAAAGAAGAAAUAUUCAUGUGACAGAGACUGAUUUGUUCUGCUCAUGGAAGUAAGGAGAUAGAAGAUAUUCUGGGUGGCAGCCUGACAAAGCCUGCCCUUUUCUGCAGAAAUGACAUUGUUUCCAGAGGAGCAUUCAUCCAUGGUGAAAAGGGUUAGGGGACCUGCGCUGGUCAUCAUGCUGUCCUUGUCUUGGAGUAUCAGAGACUGGCUACAGCUAGGGCUACCAAAGGCACAAAUUAGGAAUUUCCACAAAGAUCACUUAGUUACACUCAUUUUGCAGAAGCAAUCACUGAAAACCAAAAAAGGAGCAUCUAUGAUCCUAUAAGUGGGAUUCACUUUGUGGGGAACAGAGGCCAGGGCUUCCUGCAUGUGGAGGCUGCCAUGUUUGUGCAAGACUGCAAUCACCCCAGAAGCUAUAUUUACAGGAAACACAGAGUUAAGUUUGAUGGAA
rnacentral:lncRNA from 1 species